rnacentral:misc_RNA from 1 species
GUGAAUCAUCGAAUCUUUGAACGCAAAUUGCGCUUCCUGGUAUCCCGGGAAGUAUGCCUGUUUGAGGGUCAGUAUUAACAAAAAAUCGGUUUGGUUGCAAAUUGUGACGUUUCCGGAGUUUGGGCUAUCUUAACUUUUUUGGUUAAGGGGCUUAAAAUUGACCUUAUUUGCGAAUAUUUAGACGUACAUAAUUUUUUUUUUUAUUCUUGUAU